UACGUAGGCAGCAAGCGUUGUUCGGAGUUACUGGGCGUAAAGAGUAUGUAGGCGGUUGGGUAAGUUUGGUGUGAAAUCUCCCGGCUUAACUGGGAGGGUGCGCUAAAGACUGCCUGGCUCGAGUGUGGGAGAGGAAAGCGGAAUUCCUGGUGUAGCGGUGAAAUGCGUAGAUAUCUGGAGGAACACCGGUGGCGAAGGCGGCAUCCUGGACCGGUAUUGACGCUGAGGAGCGAAAGCCAGGGGAGCAAACGGG
rnacentral:rRNA from 1 species